rnacentral:rRNA from 1 species
UACGAAGGGGGCUAGCGUUGCUCGGAAUCACUGGGCGUAAAGGGUGCGUAGGCGGGUCUUUAAGUCAGGGGUGAAAUCCUGGAGCUCAACUCCAGAACUGACCUUUGAUACUGAGGAUCUUGAGUUCGGGAGAGGUGAGUGGAACUGCGAGUGUAGAGGUGAAAUUCGUAGAUAUUCGCAAGAACACCAGUGGCGAAGGCGGCUCACUGGCCCGAUACUGACGCUGAGGCACGAAAGCGUGGGGAGCAAACAGG